AGUCGAACGGUAACAGGAAGCAGCUUGCUGCUUCGCUGACGAGUGGCGGACGGGUGAGUAAUGUCUGGGAAACUGCCUGAUGGAGGGGGAUAACUACUGGAAACGGUAGCUAAUACCGCAUAACGUCGCAAGACCAAAGAGGGGGACCUUCGGGCCUCUUGCCAUCGGAUGUGCCCAGAUGGGAUUAGCUAGUAGGUGGGGUAACGGCUCACCUAGGCGACGAUCCCUAGCUGGUCUGAGAGGAUGACCAGCCACACUGGAACUGAGACACGGUCCAGACUCCUACGGGAGGCAGCAGUGGGGAAUAUUGCACAAUGGGCGCAAGCCUGAUGCAGCCAUGCCGCGUGUAUGAAGAAGGCCUUCGGGUUGUAAAGUACUUUCAGCGGGGAGGAAGGCGACAGGGUUAAUAACCCUGUCGAUUGACGUUACCCGCAGAAGAAGCACCGGCUAACUCCGUGCCAGCAGCCGCGGUAAUACGGAGGGUGCAAGCGUUAAUCGGAAUUACUGGGCGUAAAGCGCACGCAGGCGGUCUGUCAAGUCGGAUGUGAAAUCCCCGGGCUCAACCUGGGAACUGCAUUCGAAACUGGCAGGCUAGAGUCUUGUAGAGGGGGGUAGAAUUCCAGGUGUAGCGGUGAAAUGCGUAGAGAUCUGGAGGAAUACCGGUGGCGAAGGCGGCCCCCUGGACAAAGACUGACGCUCAGGUGCGAAAGCGUGGGGAG
rnacentral:rRNA from 1 species